CAGCUACAUCAUUUAGUUGAACAACAGAUUCAAUUGGGCCACCUUCAGCAGUCCAUGAGCCCUUGGAACUCCCCAGUGUUCGGAAUCAAAAAAUCUAAUGUUAAAUGUAAGUUACUCCAAGACCUAAGAAAGAUUAAUGAAAUGAUGAAACUUUUUGGGACUCCCCAGAAGGGACUGCCUUGGGUGCCCACCAUUCCAAAUGAUCAUUAUCUUAGAGUAAUAGAUAUUAAAGAUUGUUUCUUUUCCAUACCCCUCCAUCCGGAGGACACUGAAAAUUUUGCCUUCUC
rnacentral:ncRNA from 1 species